AAUCAACGCUGGCGGCGUGCCUCAGACAUGCAAGUCGAACGAUUAAGACUCCCUUCGGGGAGUGCAUAAAGUGGCGCACGGGUGAGUAACACGUAAGUAAUCUACCUUCGAGUGGGGAAUAACAUCGGGAAACCGAUGCUAAUACCGCAUAAUGCAGCGGCAUCGAAAGAUGACAGUUGUUAAAGGAGCGAUUCGCUUGAGGAGGAGCUUGCGGCAGAUUAGCUAGUUGGUAAGGUAAUGGCUUACCAAGGCUACGAUCUGUAUCCGGUCUAAGAGGACGGUCGGACACACUGACACUGAAUAACGGGUCAGACUCCUACGGGAGGCAGCAGUCGGGAAUUUUGGGCAAUGGGCGAAAGCCUGACCCAGCAACGCCGCGUGAAGGAUGAAGUUUUUCGGAAUGUAAACGUCGAAAGAAUGGGAAGAAUAAAUGACGGUACCAUUUAUAAGGUCCGGCUAACUACGUGCCAGCCGCCGCCGUAAAAC
rnacentral:rRNA from 1 species